ensembl:lncRNA
AUUUCUCCCAGCAAUCUUGAUUCCAGCUGUGCUUCUUCCAGCCCAGCAUUGGCAUAUACAUAUAUCCCCUCCAUUUUGGAUUUCCUUCCCAUUUAGGUCACCACAGAGAGCUGAAUACUAUCUGCUGUGCUACCCAGUAGGUUCUCAUUAGUUAUCUGUUUGCCACACUGUUUACAAAAGCCAUGACAUGGAAGAAACCUAAAUGUUCAUCAGCAGAGAAACGGAUAGAGAAGAUGUGGCGCAUAUACACGACGGAAUAUUACUCGGCCAUGAAAAGGGAUGAAACUGUGCCAUUUGCAGAGACACGGAUGGACAGAGUGUCACACAGAGUGAAGUAAAUUGGAAAGAGAAAAACGGAUAUCAUAUAUUAAUACAUAUACAUUGAAUCUAGAAAAAUGGUGCAGAUAAACCUAUUUGCAAAGCAGAAAUAGAGACCGAUAUAGAGAACAAAUAUGAACACCAAGGAGGGAAAGGGGGUGGGAUGAAUUGGCUGGGUUGGAACUGACAUCCUCAGUAUUCUCUUGUGUAACUCCUCAGAAUAGUAUAGGAUGGGGCUGAGAUCCCCAGAGGGCAGAGCCUGGGUCAGUCUCUACCAGGCUCUCACAAUCUCCCAUUGUGUCUGAAGCUGUGACUUCAUCACCCUGAGCACUCAGCAGGUACCAGUGAGGGGCAGGAUUCUCCCAUAUCCCUUCCCACCCUGAGAACAUGUUUUUUUUAGGGAACCACUCAAGCUCCCACCCUGGCCCUGGGAUCUUCUUCGUGACAGGCAUCCUUGGUUGCAUCUUGGGACCCUGCAUGUUCCUUUUUAUUGUUUUCCUGGUGGUUCAAAAGUGCAUACAGAAAGUAAAGUGCGAAGGCUGGUUUUCACGUUCCUCAAAGAAAGAAGAUCUGGGAGAGGAGAAACUCCUGACCGAAGAGUGUGAGUUUGGAAAUGAGGAUGCUGCACUUGGAAGCAGUGGAAUUCCAUUUGAAGAACAGAUAUGUGUCUAUUGAAAGUCCUCUUAUGUUUUGGUCCAAACUAGAGGUACAGAAAAUAUCACUUCAUAUGUCAAAAAAAGGGUAGCACUGACUUGUGUCCCAUUUUUACAUACAUUCUCCAAUAAUAAAUACUUUGGUCCUUUCAUAUCAGUUCCAUUAUUGAGAAAUUUUUGUGAACAUCUAGAGACUUUAACACAAACAGCUUUUACAAUAUUCACCCCCUGGCCAUUUUCAUCCAAAUAUAUAUUUUCUUUUCUAGAGUUAAGCCCUAGGUGAGUGAUCCAUGGUCAGACUGAGAGAGAUGCUGAAUCCAGAUCCAGAGUCAGGGUUCUUCUUCUCCUGAGAUGACCUCAUAGUAACAGCACUUGAAUAUUCCGGAAAUGCUCUAUCCUAAUGACAUCAUUUCUUCUUACAUAAGUUGGGUCCCCUCCCCACAUAGACUCUGGAAAAUUGAUUUCAUGGAGGUAGAUGUAGGUUUGGCAGAAUCUUCUUAGUAAAACUAAAUCUAAAAACUUCUCAGAAACGUAAUUGAAAUAGGAAAGUACAGAAGUCAUUUAGAAGUAGAAUGUUUUUAUGUUAACUUCAUAAUUUUGGUUGUGAAGAUUCUUAGGCUUCAGCUUUAUUUUUCAAACACAAUUUUGCCUUUUUAUGAUUGAGUUACUAGGUAUAGGACAUAAUGUGUGCUACCUGGUUAAUUUAAAUGAAGAGUAUUUCUUUUUUGGCAUUUUUAAAAUUUAUUUUUAGUUGGUUAAUUGCUAUACAAGACAGCAUAUUAAAAACCAGAGACAUUACUUUGUCCACAAAGGUCCAUC